rnacentral:rRNA from 1 species
GACGAACGCUGGCGGCGUGCUUAACACAUGCAAGUCGAACGGAAAGGCCCUGCUUUUGUGGGGUGCUCGAGUGGCGAACGGGUGAGUAACACGUGAGUAACCUGCCCUUGACUUUGGGAUAACUUCAGGAAACUGGGGCUAAUACCGGAUAGGAGCUCCUGCUGCAUGGUGGGGGUUGGAAAGUUUCGGCGGUUGGGGAUGGACUCGCGGCUUAUCAGCUUGUUGGUGGGUAGUGGCUUACCAAGGCUUUGACGGGUAGCCGGCCUGAGAGGGUGACCGGCCACAUUGGGACUGAGAUACGGCCCAGACUCCUACGGGAGGCAGCAGUGGGGAAUAUUGCACAAUGGGCGGAAGCCUGAUGCAGCAACGCUGCGUGCGGGAUGACGGCCUUCGGGUUGUAAACCGCUUUCGCCUGUGACGAAGCGUGAGUGACGGUAAUGGGUAAAGAAGCACCGGCUAACUACGUGC